rnacentral:rRNA from 1 species
AGAGUUUGAUCCUGGCUCAGGAUGAACGCUGGCGGCGUGCCUAACACAUGCAAGUCGAACGGGAACCCUUGGAUUCGUCUGGGGGGGAGAGUGGCGAACGGGUGAGUAACACGUUGGUGACCUGCCCCGGAGUCGGGAACAACCCUUCGAAAGGGGGGCUAAUGCCCGAUAUGCUUGUGUCUCUUAGAAGGACACAAGUAAAGCUCCGGCGCUUCGGGAGGGGCCAGCGGCCUAUCAGCUAGUUGGUGAGGUAACGGCUCACCAAGGCUAAGACGGGUAGGGGGCGUGAGAGCGUGAUCCCCCACAAUGGAACUGAGACACGGUCCAUACUCCUACGGGAGGCAGC